GUAGGGAAUUUUCGGCAAUGGGGGAAACCCUGACCGAGCAACGCCGCGUGAAGGAAGAAGGUUUUCGGAUUGUAAACUUCUGUUAUGAAGGAAGAACGGCGGCUACAGGAAAUGGUAGCCGAGUGACGGUACUUUAUUAGAAAGCCACGGCUAACUACGUGCCAGCAGCCGCGGUAAUACGUAGGUGGCAAGCGUUAUCCGGAAUUAUUGGGCGUAAAGAGGGAGUAGGCGGCAGCAAGGGUCUGUGGUGAAAGCCUGAAGCUUAACUUCAGUAAGCCAUAGAAACCAGGCAGCUAGAGUGCAGGAGAGGAUCGUGGAAUUCCAUGUGUAGCGGUGAAAUGCGUAGAUAUAUGGAGGAACACCAGUGGCGAAGGCGACGAUCUGGCCUGCAACUGACGCUCAGUCCCGAAAGCGUGGGGAGCAAAUAGGAUUAGAAACCCUUGUAGUCC
rnacentral:rRNA from 1 species